UACCUGUCGGUUCCGUUCUCAGAGGGACGGACGGAGUUAACCCGGAAGCGCCUGCGCUUUGAUUGAACUGGGGCGUCGUGAAUGUAAAAUUCAUUUUGAAUAGUUGAUAGAGGGUAUCGUGUGGGUUAUAUUAUAAAGUAAUGGAUGGUUUAGGUUACGUUUGUCUGGCGAUAAACAUUUUACACUUCCUUUUUUUUUUUUUUUUUUUUUUUUUAAGAUACUAUCCGAGGAAAGGGGAAUAUUGAUUCACCCCCUGCUCGGUUACAAAUAACUUCCUAAAUGUAUUGUCAAUUUGUCUGUUUCAGAACCUCUAGAUUCCAUGCGGGUAAUAUCAAAAUACAUGUCCCUAACGAAAAGGUUCGUGCAGUGGUAAAAUGAUAGGAUUCAGCCCGAUAACUCUUUCAGCAAUAUUUUUGUUUGCUCUGAGCGUGACGGGCCAAAGUAAACAAGGAGCAAGAAUAUGAAAAAUCCUUCCUCCGUGGGGUAUUUCACAUGAGUCCUGCCUUAUCUGUGAGCGGCAAGAACCUCAGCCCGCAAUGCAAGAUCGACUUUCAAGAGUUCACGCGGGAUCUCCAACAACUGAAGUAUUGGGCUUUUCAAAUGCACGACUCAACGGGAAAACCCAACUCAGGGAUGCUGAACGGGAACCUGCACUCUUACGGGGACUACGAAACAGUGCCUGGAGGUCUCGCAUCCUCGCAUUAAGGGCAAGUACUGUCUCCUGGGUUUCGACGUGGACUUCCACCCUAAGUCAACGUACAGGGGCAACGUCCGAUAUCUCCUCGAGGGCGCCUACGCGGACUACGUCUGGUAUGGCCCCAACCAUAAUGCGCCAGGCGGGCGAUCGCCCCCUCAAAGAAAAAUUCUAUGGGGCUUCUGUAUACCUGCUUCUUGUGACGUUGAUGAUUUGCAAAAUGGUUUGCGACAAAUUUUGGCACCUCUCAACUCCACUGAUCACGGACUUGAAAUAAGGAUGUUCACGAUGGGCGAUUCUUGCACUACAGAAGAGAGCAAAGUUUCACCGCCACGCUCAUAUUUUGUCAUGUGAGUUUACGCUUAAAAUCAUUUUAAUUUUUGAGCGCUCGCUUUGAGUCUUCAACUACUAAGGUAAUUCAUUUCAAAUGUAUGUAUCAUGCAUCAUAAAAGUCGCUCCUAAAACACACUCUGGCGUGCUGCGACAUCCAAAUGCCACAUGUGCCUAGUUUCGCGAAGGUUAUUGGACAACUGCAACUGGCAACGCAAUAUGUGUCGCCAAAUAUGAAUCGCCUUCAAAAAGAAGCUAAUGCAACAAGCGAAA
rnacentral:lncRNA from 1 species